rnacentral:rRNA from 1 species
UGACAAGAAAUAACAAUACAGGACCUUACGGUUUUGUAAUUGGAAUGAGUUAAGUAUAAACCCCUUAACAAGUAUCAAUUGGAGGGCAAGUCUGGUGCCAGCAGCCGCGGUAAUUCCAGCUCCAAUAGCGUAUAUUAAAGUUGUUGCAGUUAAAAAGCUCGUAGUUAAUCUUCUGUUAAUUUUUAUAUAUAAUAUCUCGAUAUUUAUAUAAUAUUAACAUAAUUCAUAUUACUUUUUAGUAUAUGAAACUUUACUUUGAGAAAAUUAGAGUGCUUAAAGCAGG